rnacentral:rRNA from 1 species
UGAAUACGAGAUGCUACGGCGUCGAAGCAGUCUAUGUCAUACUUCCAAGAAAAGCUUGCACUGUCAUAAACAAAUAAUGCCUGUACCAUAACCGACACAGGUGGGUAGGUAGAGUAUACUAAGGGGCGCGAGAUAACUCUCUCUAAGGAACUCGGCAAAAUGACUCCGUAACUUCGGGAGAAGGAGUGCCUUAUUUAUAAGGUUGCAAUAACAAGAUCCAAGCAACUGUUUACCAAAAACACAGGUCUCCGCUAAGUCGUAAGACGAUGUAUGGGGGCUGACGCCUGCCCAGUGCCAGAAGGUUAAAGAAGUUGGUUAGCAUCCGCGAAGCUGAUAACUGAAGCCCUGGUGAACGGCGGCCGUAACAAUAACGGUCCUAAGGUAGCGAAAUUCCUUGUCGGGUAAGUUCCGACCCGCACGAAAGGCGUAAUGAUUUGGAUACUGUCUCGGAGAGGGGCUCGGUGAAAUAGACUUUUCUGUGAAGAUGCGGACUACCUGCACCAGGACAGAAAGACCCUAUGAAGCUUUACUGUAACCUGAAAUUGAAAUUGGACUUUGCUUGCGCAGUAUAGGUGGGAGGCGUUGAGAAUAUUCUUGCGGGAUUAUUGGAGCCAUCAGUGAGAUACCACUCUUGUAAUGUUAGAUUUCUAACUUUGUAUCAUUAUCUGGUCAAAGAACAGUUUCAGGCGGGCAGUUUGACUGGGGCGGUCGCCUCCUAAACGGUAACGGAGGCGCACAGAGGUUUCCUCUGAACGGGUAGAAAUCGUAUCUAGAGUGUAAAGGCAUAAGGAAGCUUGACUGUGAGACCUACAAGUCGAGCAGGGACGAAAGUCGGUCUUAGUGAUCUGACGGUGCUGAGUGGAUAGGCCGUCACUCAACGGAUAAAAGUUACUCUAGGAUAACAGGCUGAUCUCCCCCAAGAGUUCACAUCGACGGGGAGGUUUGGCACCUCGAUGUCGGCUCAUCGCAUCCUGGGGCGGUAGUACGUCCCAAGGGUUGGGCUGUUCGCCCAUGAAAGCGGUACGCGAGCUGGGUUCAGAACGUCGUGAGACAGUUCGGUCCAUAUCCGGUGUAGGCGUUAGAAUAUUGAGAGGAGCCUUCUUUAGUACGAGAGGACCGAGAAGGACAUACCUCUGGUGUACCAGUUAUCGUGCCAACGGUAAACGCUGGGUAGCUAUGUGUGGAGUGGAUAACCGCUGAAAGCAUCUAAGUGGGAAGCCCACCUCAAGAUAAGUAUUCUCAU